rnacentral:rRNA from 1 species
ACUCCUACGGGAGGCAGCAGUGGGGAAUAUUGCACAAUGGGCGCAAGCCUGAUGCAGCCAUGCCGCGUGUAUGAAGAAGGCCUCGGUUGUAUGUAGNCUUUCAGCAGUGAGGAAGGUGGGUAUGUUAAUAGCAUACUCAUUUGACGUUAGCUGCAGAAGAAGCACCGGCUAACUCCGUGCCAGCAGCCGCGGUAAUACGGAGGGUGCGAGCGUUAAUCGGAAUUACUG